ACCCUUAAGCAAAACAGGUUUGAACUGCACAGCUCCGCUUGUACAUUUUUUUCAAACAUGAGUGCUGCGGUACUCCUGCACAGUCUGGGGUUGGUUGAACUGGUGGGACCAGGAUAUGGAAGAAACUAGAAUACGGAAGAACUGACUGUAGAAGGCAGACUCUUCCCCAUGGGUUUUCAACGGCACGGAGGGUCGGUGUGCCUAAUGCCCAGGCUACUCAGGGGUCACCUGUGUGUGUGCUAACUCAUCCGUCCGGUAUUUUUCCCCCAGCUUUUCUUGGGUGCACAUUUCGUGGCAGGCAUUGCCAAUACAGGUGUAAAGCAUCUGCGGUGUCUGACUUUAAGAAACCGAUGUCCUUUAUCUUUUCAGUGAAGACCAAGAAAGUUUUAGACGUUUGUUCUGUAGAUUAAUUCAUUGCUUCUCAAAGUAGCUUCUGCUGAGCUUUGUUCUUGUAAGCUGCUCUAAGAAUGAAACUGGCCUGGCUAUAAAACCAGUUUUAAAGAAUUUGUAUAUAUACUACAUUCCCUCUUACAAAUUUAAGUCUCUAAUAAAUCCCAUAGCAAACAAAUCAGCUGUUUAAUUUUCUUUACCAAAAUUACCCACCUUUAUUUGACUCCUAAUGUCCAUCAGCAGUUGAGUUCUUCAGGGCACGACUGGGGAAAAGCUGGCCAUACGGAAGAGCCUGUGACAUUGAAGAUUACCAUGGGGUGUUGACAACAAAGAAUUUAGAGAAUGAAAAGAAGACGGCUUACGGGUUUAGGUAUCAUUUCAUCAUUUCAGAAGCAUUUUCAGGACGGAAAGGACAUUGAACCAAUCAAUCUGAUCUUAAUACUAACAAAUUAAGAGCUAUCAAAAAUUGGGAGUUCCCUUCAUGGCUCGGCAGUGAACAAACCUAACUAGUCUCCACGAAGAUGCAGGUUGGAUCCCUGGCCUUGCUCAGUGGGUUAAGGAUCCGGUGUUGCCAUGAGCUGUGGUGUAGGCCACAGGCAUGGCUCAGAUCCUGUGUUGGGGUGGCUGUUGUAGCUCCAAUUGGACUCCUAGCCUGGGAACUUCCAUAUGUUGCAGGUGCAGCCCUAAAAAGCAGAGAAAAAAAAAAUUUCUUAAGGAUGACAUAGUAAGUGCUGUAACAGUCAUCUAGGGAGUGGGAAUCUUGGACAAUGGACGUUUACAACUGUUUUAACAGGAUGUGAAAUGGUGAGCUUGGCUACAGCAGCAAAUUAUGGUAAAUGAUUUUGCAUUCCAAAAAAUUAGUGGGGGGCUUUUGCAAACCAGCUACACGCUAUGCACGCUCUGGAACGCCUUCAACCACAGGUCUUGAAAGGGUUGAGCAAAGGGAGGCAGGAAUGGGUUUUGUGCAGUUAUGCUGUGGUUGCUCACCCUUGCCUCUUUAGAGUCACUAAGGGGUGUUGCUCACCUUACCUCUUGCCUGCAGUCGUUCUGGUGUGAUUCUGGCCUGUGGCAUCUGGGAGCGCUCCCAGUUUUGGUAGGCAGAGUUUGUGUGAGGGUUCUGGGCCUUCUGUCUUAACUUCAAAUGACGAUAGAACUUCUGUUAUUUACAGUAACAGGGAGGUCACAGCAUCUGGCCUCAUGUUUGUACAGGAGCGAGUGUGUUACCCUCAUGGACCAGGCUUAAAGGGACCCUGGGAGAAAAACCAAGUUGCUUCCACUGAUACUCCAUAGUCCCGCCGGAUCCGUGUACCGUUUAUACCGCUGGAGACAACCAAGACGAGCAUGCGUGAGAAGAUACGGGUGGAUGUCUGCCAGUACAGCAGGGCCCUAUUCGAACUUGCCAUUAAAUAUAUGCUGGCACACCCCUAAUCCAGGGGGGUGUGUGUGCGUGGGGGGGAAGCAGUUCUCUCCUGGGUUAUUCUGUCUACAUCUGUAAGAAGGAAAUCUAAAGACCGGGACGUGAUCGGUUGAAAGGAAGAAGCUGAAAUAAAUUAGAGGCACAAGCCCUGUUGUGUUGGGUCCCACGGUUCCCCCGUUCACUAUUUUGGGGGCUUCUACUAAGUCCCGAGUGUUGGGCUUGAUACUGAGGUUUCAAAGCUGUUUUCCCCAGCACCUGUCAAUUUAGCUGGGGAGAUUGACAAAAAUGCAACCCCUAACUGACUCCGGAGAUAACACGAGCUAAGGAAAGUCAGAUUACGUCUGCUUGGAGGUUUACUUAAAAGUGAGGGUUAACAAUAGAACAGUUUUUCCCCCUGCUUUUUAGGGCCACAGCCCCAGCUAUGGAAGUUCCCAGGCUAAGGGUCCCAUUGGAGCUGCAUCUGCCAGCCUACACCGCAGCUACAGCAACUUGCCAUCCGAGAAUUUAACUUUGAACUAAAAGGGUGGGCAUUUGCUGGGCUGAGAAGCAUUUAACGCUGCAGAGAUCAUGGAAAGUCAGGGAGGCAGUCUGCCCUCACUGGGAUUCUUAGAUUGGUUAAGCAUCAGAACCAUCUGGAAGCUCCAAACCUCCAGAGAUUCAAACUCUGGUAGAAAUAAAAAACUCAACGGCAGAGUCCCUCAACCCUCCCAAGCCCCCACCUGGUUCUGAUAGAGUAAGUGUUUGGGGUUUGGAAACCACUGGAAUGUCUCAGCCUAAAGAUCUAACUUGGGAUUAGGAAGAGCUGGUUGGUCAUUCUGCAACUUAGGAAUGGUUUGACUGAAACUAGUGCCCACAGGGAGCCCACCAACAAACAACCAGUAUCUCUCGUUACAUGAAUUGAUUUUUAUUGCUGUUUUAUAAAGCUUCAUACUUUCCUAAAAGCAAAAAAAUUUCUAAAAGAAAAAUUUAUAUAGAUAAUAUAGUCAUUAGAAGAGCAGAGCUAAGUAAUAUGAAAAAAGCUGUAAGCAGCAAUAAAAUUAAGACCUACAUAAAACUAGCAGUGCAAUAAGAUAAAGCAGAAAGCAGCUUUACAUUGGGGAAAAAAGUCAUUUAAAUACAGAAAUAGCACCUCGCAAAAAGGAAUCGAGAAAUGUAAACUUGGUAGGUAGAUUCAAGUAUAAACGUUAUACCCCCAACGCUUGGACCAGAAUGAAAGGGUUUCUCAAACCCUGGACAGUGUAGGGGACACACACCUCCCUCAGUGUGGACUCAAAGCUGCAUUUCCUUCGCAGGAUCACUGACAGUCAUUUAUUAACAUUUUGCCACAUUAUCAGGAUAGACUCGAGCGUGCCAUGGCUUUCUCACUACUCCCAACAUGCGAGUGUGGGGAGAUGCCAGCUGCCCCAGUACCAUCCGUUGGCUCUGUCGCAGAUUCCCAUUCCUGCCAGAAAGAACCACUGCCUAACUAUUUUCUACACAUCCCCAAGCCACACGAAGAAAUGACUCCUGGGUACAAAAGGACUCUCUUGUUGG
ensembl:lncRNA